GUCUCCCAAGACCUCCUUACGCUCGGUUUUCCCCGAAGUGAGGGACCCUCCUACCCUACUCAGAGCUCGCAGUCUAGCGGGCCCAGUGCCCAGGUCAGGGUGCCCAGCCCGAGGCCGGAUAGCCAUCUGAGGAGGCAGAGCCCUGCCGACGUCUGGGUCCCAGCGAGGCCCAGCUGCCCCAAGACCUCGGCGCCUCUGCCCUGCUGUGCCGGGGAGGUCGCGCUUCUGGUCUCCUGGCGAUCUUGGCUCUCCGGAAACGGAGUAGGACUCCUUCCCUUCGUCCCCUGGGUCCCCGCCAGGCGGCGCCAUCAGCCUGGCCGGGAUUCUGCGGCUGCGAGCCCUGGCCCACUCCAGGGGUGUUGAAAUUGGCGAGAGAGGAGAAACGGGCUGUCAGAAAGCAGUCUACCACUUGGAAUAACUUUUCCUCGUGGACUGUGUUUUCCAUCAUUAGGAUCUCCUGGAGUACAAAUUCCUAUGCUCCACCCCCGAUCGUCCUGAUUCAGGGGAAUCUGUGGUGGCGCCUGGAAAUCAGCAUUUUAAAGCAGCUGCUCCACGUUGAUGCCCGUAGUCUGCGCACCUCGCCUUCAGAAACUCUGGAUGCAGAAGACCUCAGUGCUGCUCUUCCUGGCCUGGGUGAGCUUCCUCUUCUACGCCGGCAUUGCUCUCUUCACCAGUGGCUUCCUGCUCACCCGUUUGGAGCUCACCAACCAUAGCAGCUGCCAAGAGCCCCCAGGCCCUGGGUCCCUGCCAUGGGGGCGCCGAGGGGAGCCCGGGGCCUGCUGGAUGGCUUCCCGAUUCUCCCGACUUGUGUUGGUGCUGAUAGACGCUCUGCGAUUUGACUUUGCCCAGCCCCAGCUCUCACGUGUUUCUGGGGAGCCUCCUGUCUCCCUGCCCUUCCUGGGCAAACUGGGCUCCUUGCAGAGGAUCCUGGAAAUUCAGCCCCACCAUGCCAGGCUCUACCAAUCCAAGGCUGACCCCCCGACCACCACCAUGCAGCGCCUCAAGGCUCUCACCACUGGCUCACUGCCUACCUUUAUUGAUGCUGGCAGUAAUUUUGCCAGUUACGCCAUAGCGGAAGACAAUCUCGUUAAGCAGCUUACUAGUACAGGAAGGCGUGUGGUCUUCAUGGGAGAUGAAACCUGGAACGAUCUUUUUCCUGGAGCUUUCUCCCGAGCUUUGUUUUUCCCAUCCUUCAAUGUCAGAGACCUACACACAGUGGACAAUGGCAUCCUGGAACACCUCUACCCAACCAUGGACAGUGGUGAAUGGGAUGUGCUGAUUACUCACUUCCUGGGUGUGGAUCACUGUGGCCACAAGCAUGGCCCUCACCAUCCUGAAAUGGCCAAGAAACUUAGCCAAAUGGACCAGGUGAUCCAGGGACUUGUGGAGCGUCUGGAGAAUGACACACUGCUGGUUGUGACUGGGGACCAUGGGAUGACCACGAGUGGGAACCAUGGAGGGGACAGUGAGCUGGAGACCUCAGCUGCACUUUUUCUGUAUAGUCCCACGGCCCUCUUCCCCAGCACCCCACCAGAGGUGAGGCCUGAGGAGCCAGAGGUAAUUCCUCAAAUCAACCUUGUGCCUACGCUGGCCCUGCUGUUGGGCCUGCCUAUCCCAUUUGGGAACAUCGGGGAGGUGAUAGCUGAGGUAUUCUCAGAGGUGGAAGACUCCCAGCCUCACUCCUCUGCUCUGGCCCAAGCCUCAGCUCUCCAUCUCAAUGCCCAGCAGGUGUCCCGAUUUCUUCACACCUACUCAGCUGUUGCUCAGGACCUCCAAGUUAAGGAGCUUCGUCGACUGCAGAACCUCUUCUCCAAGGCUUCUGCUGACUACCAGCGGCUUCUGCAGAGCCCCCAGGGGGCUGAGGCGGCACUCCAGACUGUGAUUACUGAGCUGCAGCAGUUCCUGCGGGGAGUUCGGGCCAUGUGCAUUGAGUCUUGGGCUCGUUUUUCUCUGGUCCGCAUGGCAGGGGGCGCUGCUCUCUUGGCUGCUGCCUGCUUUCUUUGCCUGUUGGUGUCCCAUUGGGCAACAUCCCCGGGCUUCUAUUUCCACCCUCUCCUAACAGCCAUGGCCUGGGGUCUGACUGGGGCUGUAGUGUGUGCUGGACUCCUGGCAGCUGCUGGGCUGAAGCUGGAUUCAGUGGUUCUAGGGGCUGUGGCUGCAGUGGGCUCACUCCUGCCUUUUCUGUGGAAAGCCUGGGCUGGCUGGGGAGCUAAGAGGCCCCUGGUAGCCCUGCUUCCCAUGCCUGGGCCUGUCCUGUUACUCUUGCUCAUUCGUUUUGCUGGUUUCUUCUCUGAUAGCUUUGUUAUAGCCGAGGCCAGGGCUGCCGCCUUCCUCUUGAUCUCACUCGUCUUGUUCCUGGUUGCCCGGCUUCACUGGGAGGGCAAGCUGCUGCCACCUAAGCUACUCACAAUACCUCGCCUUGGCUUUUUGACCCCAACAGGCCCCCCACGUCACAAUGGCAUGCAUGCCCUGGGGCUUGGAGUUGGGUUGCUUUUAUGUAUAAGGCUUGCUGGGCUUUUUCAUCGCUGCCCAGAAGAGACACCUGCUUGCAGCUCCUCUCCCUGGCUGCGUCCCCUGGCAUCCAUGGUGGGUGGUCGAGCCAAGAAUUUGUGGUAUGGAGCUUGUGUGGGGGCUCUGGUGGCCCUGUUAGUCGCUGUGCGCCUGUGGCUUCGCCACUAUGGUAAUCUCAAGAGCCCUGAGCCCCCUGUGCUCUUUGUGCGCUGGGGGCUGCCGCUAAUGGGACUAGGCACCUCUGCCUACUGGGCAUUGGCAUCAGGGGCAGAUGAAGCACCCCCACGCCUCCGGGCCCUGGUCGCUGGGGCAUCCGUUAUGUUACCUAGGGCUGUGGCAGGGUUGGCCGCUUCAGGGCUCAUGCUGCUGCUCUGGAGGCCUGUGACGGUGCUGGUGAAAGCUGCGACGGGAGCUCCCAGGACCAGGACUGUCCUCACUCCCUUCUCAGGCCCCCCCACUUCUCAGGCUGACCUGGAUUAUGUGGUUCCUCAAAUCUACCGACAUAUGCAGGAGGAGUUCCGGGGCCGGCUAGAGAGGACCAGAUCUCAGGGCCCCCUGACGGUGGCUGCCUAUCAGUUGGGGAGCGUCUACUCAGCGGCUAUGGUCAUGGCCCUCACCUUCUUGGCCUUCCCACUUCUGCUAUUGCAUGCAGAGCGCAUUAGCCUUGUGUUCCUGCUUCUGUUUCUGCAGAGCUUCCUUCUCCUGCAUCUGCUUGCUGCUGGGAUACCCAUCACCACCCCUGGUCCUUUUACUGUGCCUUGGCAGGCAGUCUCUGCUUGGGCCUUCAUGGCCACACAGACCUUCUAUUCCACGGGCCACCAGCCUGUCUUUCCAGCUAUCCAUUGGCAUGCAGCCUUCGUGGGAGUCCCAGAGGAUCGUGCCUUUACCUGGCUAUCUGCUUUGCUGGUGGGAACCAACACCUUUGCCUCCCAUAUCCUCUUUGCAGUAGGUUGCCCAUUGCUCCUGCUCUGGCCCUUUCUGUGUGAGAGUCAAGGGCCCCGGAAGAGGCGGCAGUCCCCAGGGAAUGAAGCUGAGGCCAGAGUCAGGCCUGAGGAGGAGGCGGAGCCACUGAUGGAGAUGCGGCUCCGGGAUGCGCCUCACCACUUCCAUGCAGCGUUGCUGCAGCUGGGCCUCAAGUACCUCUUUGUCCUUGGUAUUCAGAGGCAGAAGGUGUGACUGUGACAUUCCUUCCACCCUGGCAGACAGAGCCUGAGCGUCAGCAGCACAGAUGAAUAGUGCUUGCCCAAGGUCACACUGCAAAUCAUGGUAGGGCCAGGAAAAAAAUUAGGUCUCCUAACUCCUAGCCCAGGGUUUUUUCCAUUGACGUGCACUACUUUCCUUCCCCUUCCAUUCUUCACAGGGGCCUGCAGCAACUUUGUACUGACCUGCUUCCUGCUUCCCUUCCCAAAUAGCUUGACCCCUCCUCUCUUCCCUUAGAUUCUGGCCUGUGCCUUGGCAGCCUUCAUCCUCCGCAGGCAUCUCAUGGUCUGGAAGGUGUUUGCCCCCAAGUUCAUUUUUGAAGCCAUGGGCUUCAUUGUGAGCAGCGUGGGACUUUGCCUGGGCAUAGCUUUGGUGAUGCGAGUG